rnacentral:rRNA from 1 species
CACCUCUUGCUUUUAAUCAUAAGAGGCCCAGCCUGCCCAGUGACCCUGUUCAACGGCCGCGGUAUCCUAACCGCGCGAAGGUAGCGUAAUCACUUGUUUUCUAAAUAAAGACUAGUAUGAAAGGCACCACGAGAUUUAAACUGUCUCCUUUCCCUAAUCAGUGAACCUAAUCUCCCCGUGAAGAAGCGGGGAUAACCUUAUAAGACGAGAAGACCCUGUGGAGCUUAAAACAAUUAAACACGUGCUUAUCCUACUCUUACACCAAGGCCAUCACCUCCUCAGCACGCUGAUUUUAUGUUUUCGGUUGGGGUGACCACGGAGAACAAAACACCCUCCGCGAUGAAAGGGACAUACUCCCUAAAUAACAAGCCACAACUUUAUCUAUCAAUAAAUUGACAUUCAUUGACCCAAUAUUUUGAUCAACGAACCAAGUUACCCCAGGGAUAACAGCGCAAUCCACUUUUAGAGCUCCUAUCAACAAGUGGGCUUACGACCUCGAUGUUGGAUCGGGAUAUCCCAGUGGUGCAGCCGCUACUAAAGGUUCGUUUGUUCAACGAUUGAAAU